AUAACGAAGAGUAUGAUCCUGGCUCAGAUUGAACGCUUGCGGCAUGCUUAACACAUGCAAGUCGAACGGCAGCAUGCUUUUCUUUCGGGAAAAGUGAUGGCGAGUGGCGGACGGGUGAGUAAUGCGUAGGAAUCUACCCUGAAGAGGGGAAUAACCUAGGGAAACUUAGGGUAAUACCGCAUAAUCUUUUCGAAGCAAAGCUGGGGACCUUCGGGCCUGGCGCUUCAGGAUGAGCCUACGUCAGAUUAGCUUGUUGGUGGGGUAAUGGCCUACCAAGGCAACGAUCUGUAGCUGGUCUGAGAGGACGAUCAGCCACACUGGGACUGAGACACGGCCCAGACUCCUACGGGAGGCAGCAGUGGGGAAUAUUGGACAAUGGGCGAAAGCCUGAUCCAGCAAUGCCGCGUGUGCGAUGAAGGCUUUCGGGUCGUAAAGCACUUUCAGUUGGGAAGAUGGCUUAUUAGUUAAUAGCUGAUAAGUUGACGUUACCAUCAAAAGAAGCACCGGCUAACUCUGUGCCAGCAGCCGCGGUAAUACAGAGGGUGCGAGCGUUAAUCGGAAUUACUGGGCGUAAAGAGCACGUAGGUUGGUAUUUAAGUCAGUUGUGAAAGUCUCGAGCUCAACUUGAGGACUGCAUCUGAAACUGAAUGCCUAGAGUUUGGUAGAGGGAAGUGGAAUUUCCGAAGUAGCGGUGAAAUGCAUAGAUAUCGGAAGGAACACCAGUGGCGAAGGCGGCUUCCUGGACCAAUACUGACACUGAGGUGCGAAAGCGUGGGGAGCGAACAGGAUUAGAUACCCUGGUAGUCCACGCCGUAAACGAUGAGAACUAGGUGUUGGGAAUUAUCUCAGUGCCGAAGCUAACGCGUUAAGUUCUCCGCCUGGGGAGUACGACCGCAAGGUUGAAACUUAAAGGAAUUGACGGGGGCCCGCACAAGCGGUGGAGCAUGUGGUUUAAUUCGAUGCAACGCGAAAAACCUUACCUACCCUUGACAUACUCGGAACCUGCUAGUGAUAGUGGGGUGCCUUCGGGAACCGAGAUACAGGUGUUGCAUGGCUGUCGUCAGCUCGUGUCGUGAGAUGUUGGGUUAAGUCCCGUAACGAGCGCAACCCUCGUCCUUAGUUGCCAGCACGUAAUGGUGGGGACUCUAAGGAGACUGCCGGUGAUAAAUCGGAGGAAGGUGGGGAUGAGGUCAAGUCAUCAUGGCCCUUAUGGGUAGGGCUACACACGUGCUACAAUGGGCAGUACAAAGGGAAGCGAAGUCGUGAGGCUAAGCAAAUCCCAAAAAGCUGCUCCCAGUCCGGAUUGGAGUCUGCAACUCGACUCCAUGAAGUAGGAAUCGCUAGUAAUCGCGAAUCAGCAUGUCGCGGUGAAUACGUUCCCGGGCCUUGUACACACUGCCCGUCAAACCAUGGGAGUGUGUUGUACCAGAAGCAGGUAGACUAACCUUCGGGAGGUCGCUUACCACGGUAUGAUUCAUGACUAGGGUUAAGUCGUAACAAGGUAGCCGUAGGGGAACCUGCGGCUGGAUCACCUCCUUA
rnacentral:rRNA from 1 species